rnacentral:misc_RNA from 1 species
CCUCCCCCUAUUUUCCCAUCACUUGUUCCUCCCCAAAAAAGUACAAUACAAACUUAAAAAAAACCCAAWAAAUUUCAAGUCUAUAAGAAAACGAUGUCAGAGGUUUGAGAUUUUUACUUAGUGAGAUUCACUCACGCACCAGAUUUU